rnacentral:lncRNA from 1 species
AGCAGAGGGGGACUUUGCAGGGGUCGGGGUGGACGCAGAUGGCGGAGUGGAGACGGAGGAGCUGCCACAGACGCUUGCAGCGAGGGCAGCCGUGCUGCUGCUGCUGCUGUUGCGGCGGCUUCUUCUUGCGGUCGCAGGCGGCAAGGUGGUGGAUGAGCUGCUGGAGGCCACGGCAGGUGGCGGGGUUCGGGCAAUGGGUGGGGUCACGCGGCGGCGGUCCGCGGCCGGAUGGCCCGACCUCGGUGCAGCCCUCCGCGCAGAUGUGCUGCAAGCACUCCAUGGCCUCGCUCAGCUCCGUGUAUACUUUCUCCUCCUCCCUCUUCCG